rnacentral:rRNA from 1 species
AUUGAACGCUGGCGGCAGGCCUAACACAUGCAAGUCGAACGGUAACAGGAAGAAGCUUGCUUCUUUGCUGACGAGUGGCGGACGGGUGAGUAAUGUCUGGGAAACUGCCUGAUGGAGGGGGAUAACUACUGGAAACGGUAGCUAAUACCGCAUAACGUCGCAAGACCAAAGAGGGGGACCUUCGGGCCUCUUGCCAUCGGAUGUGCCCAGAUGGGAUUAGCUAGUAGGUGGGGUAACGGCUCACCUAGGCGACGAUCCCUAGCUGGUCUGAGAGGAUGACCAGCCACACUGGAACUGAGACACGGUCCAGACUCCUACGGGAGGCAGAAGUGGGGAAUAUUGCACAAUGGGCGCAAGCCUGAUGCAGCCAUGCCGCGUGUAUGAAGAAGGCCUUCGGGUUGUAAAGUACUUUCAGCGGGGAGGAAGGGAGUAAAGUUAAUACCCUUGCUGAUUGACGUUACCCGCAGAAGAAGCACCGGCUAACUACGUG